rnacentral:rRNA from 1 species
AGUGAACGCUGGCGGUAGGCCUAACACAUGCAAGUCGAACGGCAGCACAGUAAGAGCUUGCUCUUACGGGUGGCGAGUGGCGGACGGGUGAGGAAUACAUCGGCAUCUACUUUUUCGUGGGGGAUAACGUAGGGAAACUUACGCUAAUACCGCAUACUACCUACGGGUCAAAGCAGGGGAUCUUCGGACCUUGCGCGAUUGAAUGAGCCGAUGUCGGAUUAGCUAGUUGGCGGGGUAAAGGCCCACCAAGGCGACGAUCCGUAGCUGGUCUGAGAGGAUGGUCAGCCACACCGGACCUGAGACACGGUCCAGACUCCUACGGGAGGCAGCAGUGGGGAAUGUUGGACAAUGGGCGCAAGCCUGAUCCAGACAUACCGCGUGGGUGAAGAAGGCCUUCGGGUUGGAGAGCCAUUUUGUUUGGAAGGGAAGGCAGCAGGUUAAUACCGCGCUGUUCUGACGGUACCGAAUGAAUAAGCACCGGCUAACUUCGUG